AGAGUUAUGGGAUUGAAGCUACAACUGUCUACUCACUAACAAUUUUGCAGGUCAGGAUGUUGUCAUAAAGAACCUUCCAAUAGUGAUAUUGUAGGGCCAUCUUAUACUACAACCUACUUUCAUUCAGAAUCAGCCAUUGUCAGGUCUAAGUUUCUUCACAUCCAGUACUGAAAACAACUAUGAAAUUAACAUUGGGAAAAGCAUUGUAGACUCAGUCCUAAUACUAAUAUUAACUCACUUAUUCAGUCAACUGAAAAGUAAAAAAAAGAAGAAAAAAAAAAAAAAAACGUGGAUGAGGGGCACCUGGGUGGCUCUGUUGGUUAAGUGUCUGACUUUGGCUCAGGUCAUGAUCUCAAAGUCCUGGGAUUGAGCCCAGAGAUUCAGCUCUGCACUCAGUGGGGAGUCUGUUCUCCCUCUCCCUCUGCCCCUCCUCCUCCCCGAUUGUGUACGCUCUCUCUCUCAAAGAAAUAAGUAAAAUCUUUUUUAAAAGAUUUAAAGGUAUAUGUAAAAUAUAUCAAACAUAUAUAAUCCAAACACUAGUCUUUCUGCAAAUCAAAACAACUCUCUUAGAUGCCUGAAAUAGCAGAAUUAGUCUACCCAAAAUAAUUAGUCCUAUAUCUCGAAUCCUUUCUUAUAAAACUAGUCCCCUAUCAGUCUUUGAAACUUUUAAACUACUUUUAUUAUCUCUAAUACAUAGGAAGUACCUUUCCAGCCUUUCUAAUCAGUACAUAAUUAUAAAAUGUCAAUCAACAGUCACAAGCAAUUAUUGAUAGCAGUAUUAUGAAAUAGUUUGUAAAAUAGCAGUAACAGUCAAGGAUGCCUCAUUUCACCACUCUGCCCUACUGCCUCCCAUGAAAAUAAACUAAGCAAAACAGAGCAAAUUUCCUGAUUCAAUGCAUUCCAAAGCCAUGAUUUGGGUUGUACCUGGCGUUUGGAAUAUUUGGAUUACUGUUCUCCUGACCACAAAAGAUUUUGUUUUUGUUUUCUGUAAGAUAUCCUGAAGUCGUGGUUUAUCAUUUAUCAUACACUGCAAUUAAAUCCAGUCCCACAUGGAAUUUUAAAGGAUGACUAGUUGAAUAAAACCCUUUAAAGCAUGACUUCUGUCAUGUCUCUAUUUGUCAGGGUCACUCCUUGCUUUGUGAUCUUCCUCCUCACAGCUUGAGCCUGGACUGUCUACAGAUGAGCCUUCUGCUAGGAACUUCCAUAUCAUUCCAUGAGACUAUCACAGAAAGGACCUGAGUUCAAAAGAGAGGUAGUGUUAGACUUCCCUCAACUACUGCCUCACAUCUACCAGGUUUCUUGUAACUGACUUAAGGUCUUGGAUAUAUAUCCUCACUUAUCAUAAGAGUUGUCACUUAAUGCCAGGUCCUGUACUGAGCUCAUUACAUGUGCUCAAUCCUCACAGCCUUUGAAGUUAAAUACAACUACUACUUGCCAUUUUGCAAAUGAGCAAGUUUGGUCUCCACUGACUUGCCCAGAUCCUGCAAUCUGGGCAGAUUCUGUAAUCGGUUUGUUGAAUUCUAGAGCUCAAGCUCUUAGCCAUUUGGCUAUGCUAACUGGGUAGGAAAUUCAGCAACAAUUCCAUAAAAACACAGAAAUCAUUAUCUAGCCACGUGCAAAAUAAUUAUUUGUUAAGAGAUUUCAUGAAAAUUAGCAAACAUAUUUUGAAGCUGUUUGCAGGCAACAUACACAAGAUAAAGAAAAAGAACCACUGUUUCUCCUUGAACAACAUUUUUGCAGGAUUUGAUAGGGUCCCUAAAAUAAUUGCAGAUUGCAAGAGACCAGAUACUACGCCAUCCAAAGGUGCUUUGGCUGGUUGCAAUGAUCCCAUAAAGAAACGGACACCACCAUUCAAACUCAGUCUUAUAGACCACCACAAACUAAACUGAGAAUGUAUUUCCAUCUUGUCUUAUUCUGACAUGUUAGCCAAUAAGUGACUUAACUAAUCACCAACUUAAAGAAAUCCCAAAUCUGUAGUUCCUUAGAGAAAAAAGGCUUUCCUUCUUGAAAAUCCCAUUUCUUCCCUUCUUUAUGAAAAGUAGCACUGAAAUGAGCUCAACAUGAAAAGUGGAUAAACUCAGAAGCACUUAGAUUUGAUGAGAUAGCAGCCCAUACAACUGGUUCCCACUCAGUGCUGCACUGAUUAUUUACUUCCCAUACACAAAUAAGGCAAGCCAAAGCUAUUGUCUCUCUCUCCAUAAUUUUAAAUAUGGGAGAAAUAUGAUUUAAGCAAACAAACUUUUAAAUAUGAUUGAAAACAUGCUCAAGAAAGCCACUGACAUGGAGCACCUGGGUGACUCAGUCAGUUAGGAGUCUGCCUUGGGUUCAGGUCCUGAUCCUAGGGUCCUGGAAUAGAGCUCUGCAUCCUCCUCCUCCCCUUCCUCCUCCUAGGAAACCUUUUCCUUCUCCCUCUGCCCUGCCCUCCUGCUUGUGCUCUCGUUUGCGCUCUCUCUCAAAUA
rnacentral:lncRNA from 1 species